CUCACUCGCUCAAGAAUCCCAGGUGGGGAUUAUACCACCUACGCUAUUAAAGUGAGCAGCACAUUCUGCUCACUUAAAUGUGAGUAUUCCAUGUUCUUAUUUCUAUCUGCUGUAAUAUAAAUACAGUGAGCACUAUAUUUGUUUUCUCUCUCUUUCCACACUGAGGACUUCUUCUGAUGCCACUGAAUGCGAGUUACACCUGAACUAGUUCCAGCUCUCCAAUAGGUGAGUCCAAUACCUUCCUGCUGUGAAGUUUUUAUUUCUACGUAAUUUUUAGUCGCAGUCUGCACUAUUGGAAUGUUCCCUUUUUAUCUACAUAUCUCCAUCCAGAACAAGAGAACCUGAC